rnacentral:rRNA from 1 species
UACGUAGGGUGCGAGCGUUGUCCGGAAUUAUUGGGCGUAAAGGGCUCGUAGGCGGUCUGUCACGUCGGGAGUGAAAACCCAGGGCUCAACCCUGGGCCUGCUUCCGAUACGGGCAGACUAGAGGUAUGCAGGGGAGAAUGGAAUUCCUGGUGUAGCGGUGAAAUGCGCAGAUAUCAGGAGGAACACCGGUGGCGAAGGCGGGACUCUGGGCCGAUACUGACGCUGAGGAGCGAAAGCGUGGGGAGCAAACAGG